ACUAUAUAUAGAGAUAUAUAUAUAUAGAUAGAUAGAUAGAUAGAUCAGCGCACUCAUACAGCGAAUAUUUUCAUCUUGAGCAGGUCUUCUGUAAUCGUGCUGAUCAUCAGUGAGCUUCAGACCAGAGCUGUAUUGAGGAUUCAUGAACGAAGUGGACACGAUUAUCUAUGAGAAACUGCUCCAUCCUGAUUCCAGUGUGAAUGAGAACACACACACCUUCAGCAAGAAAAGGAUAUUCCACUGUUAACGUACACAACAUCCAACUCUCCCAGUUCUGCUGAUCCAAACAUAAAGAUGCAUCUGCCUGAGUUCUAAACCUCAUUAGCUGAUUUAGUGAUUGCAGAAGCAGCUUCACAGAUAGACGGGCUAGAGAAAGGAAAAACGGAGGAGAAUGAAUCUGUUUGUCCAUGCAGUGAAUUAUUGUGACUCUGAUGUUUGUCGACUGGCCGCAGACCCGGCUGAAGCAGUCCUGAACGAGACGUCUGUCCUGAAACCUUAAUUCACAAAUGGCAGCUUGUGACUGUAAAUAUUCUGACUGCAAGUAAACGAAGCUCCGCCUUGAUGCAGUGAUUGACAGGUGUGCAGUUCAUAGUCACGCUGGAUUCUCUAAAUCACUGAAUUCUGUUACAUUCUUCCUGAAAUAUUCAUGA